UGGACAAACAUCACAUGCAGCUGUUGACACUGCUCGUUCUUUCUCCCAGACGAUCGCCGUGAUCACCAUCGCACGUGGGUGGCAGAACAAGAUUCCUCGGUAGAAGGCCGAGAGGCAAAUUCGGGCUAUCGAACGAAAGUACGGGCAAGACCACAAAGGUGAGUUGUUAAUGGCACCAGACAGCAUAUGAGCGGAUUCCUAAUGGUGUUGAUUUCCUAUAGGGUGUGUCGGAAAACUCUGGUCAAAAUCCAGCGUGAAACAUAAGACGUGCGACUGCAACAAGUCGGCACGACAAGUCGCUUGAGUGCCAAUCCGGGGACGUACAGAAAUCAAGUUGAAUAAGCCCUAGGACCCGCAACAUACUUAUCGGCAUCCGCACUUUCACCGCUCGCAUUCGCAAAGCAAAGGCCUCCACAAGGAGGCCUUUUGUUUACAUUACAGCUCGUCAAUUACAGUGAUUGGUCGCACCCACCCGAUCAGGAACCGCAGUGCGAGGCUCGCGAAGCCAUUCCGAAGGCCAUUCCUUCCAAGGAGAAGACGAAGCGCGAAGCAUAACGAGCAGAACGCGGACAGGAAUCAUUGUACGGUCGGUGGCCAAAUCACACCUCUCCGGAGGCACGAUAAGUUGGACACAGUAGCCGAUGAGUGGGCGUCGAAUGUGGUGGCCCGAAGGAGCAGCUGGCUCGUCUGCCGAAACACCGAAUAGUUCGGAGCAAACACGUAAAACUCAAGUGUACGGAGGUUCACUAUCCCCACCUCACGCAGAGCAGUUGGACGAGAUCAGGUAGGAGGCACGAUGCAGUCGCUGACGAUCCGGCGUACGUGAGUGCUACUUUAAGAAGUGAAACAGAAAGCAAAAGAAGACAGGGCAUGCAAGGUUGCCAGGAGAGUAGGGGUACCAAUUAAGCGAAAUGAUGUAAGGAAAAAAUACAAAAUGAUUGCACAUUAUGUCAUGCUUUGUGGCGUUUGAUGUUGACUAGCCGGACCGACUAAUUCCCCUUUUUCUACGGAAAG